rnacentral:rRNA from 1 species
AUUGAACGCUGGCGGCAUGCUUUACACAUGCAAGUCGAACGGUAACAGGGUGCUUGCACCGCUGACGAGUGGCGAACGGGUGAGUAAUGCGUCGGAACGUGCCGAGUAGUGGGGGAUAACGCAGCGAAAGUUGUGCUAAUACCGCAUACGUACUGAGGUAGAAAGUGGGGGACCUUCGGGCCUCACGCUAUUCGAGCGGCCGGCGUCUGAUUAGCUAGUGGGUGAGGUAAAGGCUCACCUAGGCGACGAUCAGUAGCGGGUCUGAGAGGAUGGUCCGCCACACUGGGACUGAGACACGGCCCAGACUCCUACGGGAGGCAGCAGUGGGGAAUUUUGGACAAUGGGCGAAAGCCUGAUCCAGCCAUGCCGCGUGUCUGAAGAAGGCCUUCGGGUUGUAAAGGACUUUUGUCAGGGAGGAAAUCCCUAGUGCUAAUAACACUGGGGGAUGACAGUACCUGAAGAAUAAGCACCGGCUAACUACGUGCCAGCCGCCGCCGUAA